AAGGCAUAGUGAGAGUAUUUUUGAAGCAUCUCCUUGAAUCUCUCUAACUCUUAAAAAUUGAUUCUCCUUCUAACUAAGUAAAAGAAGUAAUAUCAUUUCUAAGUUU